rnacentral:rRNA from 1 species
UACGAAGGGUGCUAGCGUUGUUCGGAAUCACUGGGCGUAAAGCGUGCGUAGGCGGCUUUACAAGUCAGGGGUGAAAUGCCAAGGCUUAACCUUGGAACUGCCUUUGAAACUGUAGAGCUGGAGUGUCGGAGGGGAUAGCGGAAUUCCUAAUGUAGCGGUGAAAUGCGUAGAUAUUAGGAGGAACACCGGUGGCGAAGGCGGCUAUCUGGACGACAACUGACGCUGAGGCACGAAAGCGUGGGGAUCAAACAGG